CGGGACACGUGGUAUCCUGUCUGAAUAUGGGGGGACCAUCCUCCAAGGCUAAAUACUCCUGACUGACCGAUAGUGAACCAGUACCGUGAGGGAAAGGCGAAAAGAACCCCGGCGAGGGGAGUGAAAAAGAACCUGAAACCGUGUACGUACAAGCAGUGGGAGCACGCUUAGGCGUGUGACUGCGUACCUUUUGUAUAAUGGGUCAGCGACUUAUAUUCUGUAGCAAGGUUAACCGAAUAGGGGAGCCGAAGGGAAACCGAGUCUUAACUGGGCGUUAAGUUGCAGGGUAUAGACCCGAAACCCGGUGAUCUAGCCAUGGGCAGGUUGAAGGUUGGGUAACACUAACUGGAGGACCGAACCGACUAAUGUUGAAAAAUUAGCGGAUGACUUGUGGCUGGGGGUGAAAGGCCAAUCAAACCGGGAGAUAGCUGGUUCUCCCCGAAAGCUAUUUAGGUAGCGCCUCGUGAAUUCAUCUCCGGGGGUAGAGCACUGUUUCGGCAAGGGGGUCAUCCCGACUUACCAACCCGAUGCAAACUGCGAAUACCGGAGAAUGUUAUCACGGGAGACACACGGCGGGUGCUAACGUCCGUCGUGAAGAGGGAAACAACCCAGACCGCCAGCUAAGGUCCCAAAGUCAUGGUUAAGUGGGAAACGAUGUGGGAAGGCCCAGACAGCCAGGAUGUUGGCUUAGAAGCAGCCAUCAUUUAAAGAAAGCGUAAUAGCUCACUGGUCGAGUCGGCCUGCGCGGAA
rnacentral:rRNA from 1 species